rnacentral:tRNA from 1 species
UGGCUGAGUGGUAAAGCACUUGGCUUCCAUACUGGUCAUCCCAGGUUCAAAUCCUGG